GUACGAGAGGACCGGAGUGGACGUACCUCUGGUGUUCCAGUUGUCAUGCCAAUGGCAUUGCUGGGUAGCUAUGUACGGACGGGAUAACCGCUGAAAGCAUCUAAGCGGGAAGCCCCCCUCAAGAUUAGGUUUCUCUGGACCUUUAAGGUCCCUAAAGGGUCGUUGUAGACUACAACGUUGAUAGGCGAGGUGUGGAAGCGCAGCAAUGCGUUAAGCUAACUCGUACUAAUUGCCCGUGAGGCUUGAUCAUAUAACACCCAAGAAG
rnacentral:rRNA from 1 species